CUAUGUACGCCAAAAAGGAACAAAUAUAAAAUAGGAAGAAGAACAAGAACAAGAAAAUCUCUAGAAUGUUGUCGGAUGAAAAUAUGAUUUUCUUAAUAGUGUCGUUCGUUCUUUAGUAGGUUAACGUCGUCGUUUACCAAACUCGAGUUGUCUGUCUUCUCCCGUCAAAACAAACGAUUUUCAUUCGUUUCGAAGAGCUUUAAAUCCAGGCACGAGUGCAAGCGUGUUAUGUGGCGUAUCUAAUUGGAGCACCUCUCUCUCCCUCCAAUAAAUAUUGCGUUGCAUUUGCGUUGGAGGAGGAUGCUAGAAGAAGAAGAACAAGAAGAAGAAAAAAAAAACGAACCAAGAUGAACAAGAUGAACAAGAAGAAGAAGAAGCUUUCGAUGAGAGGAAGGUGAAGAAGAAGAAGAAGAAGAAGAAGAAGAAGAAGACGUCGCGCGCACAUAAGACAUUGAAAAAGAGGGAGGAAGAUAUAGAGAUAGAAAAAGAAAGAGAGAGAGAGAGAGAGAGAUAAAACGCGCCUGCGCUAAACGUAACGGAGAAGCAAGCAGCGCGCUGCUUCUCGUACCACCCGGUAUUAACUAUAGGUACACACCUAUCUACGUCGUCGUCGAAGCUCAUGGCGCCAGUUUGAAGUACGCUCCUUCCGUGGAUGCACUCUUCCGUGUCUCGUUAAAUAAACUUCGUUAAUCGCAUGCGCGAAUUUUACUUUGAAAUUUUCGCGCCCUGCCCUAGAUUUCAAAUUUUCGCGCCUUUAAUCAUUUUUCCAUCCCCGUCCUUGUGUUCCCCCCCACCUCUGCCACACCGUUCACCGUGAUAAACGUUGAUUUUACUAUCCAAUGAUCGGAUUUGUAUAAGUAGAAAGAUUUCAUUGUUAGAUCGUUUAAAGAUUUCUUCUUUUCUUUUUUUUUUUUUUUGUGUGUGUGCGUACGUGUACGUUUUUGCUCUCUUCGUAUCAUCGUAUCAUUCUAUUAUCGAGAGAGAAGAUAUAUAUAUAUAAAUCAUCAACUCACGCGAUUCUGGUAUCCCAAUAUUAUUGAUCCUCAAUUGGAUCUAAUUUGAUCGUUCUGAAAUUUCAAUCGGAAGGGAAAGGGGGCGAAGGAAAUCACGAAGAUAAAAUAAUUAAUCAAAUAAAUACACAAUUACUUUUACUAUAAUUAGAUUUUGUCAAGCAUCAUGCAAUUGUUAUCCCUUUUAAAAGAUUUCGAAGAAAAAACAUUUGAUUAAAUCGUAAUGUAAUUAUAGUUACCUUUCGUGAUUGGUCUAGUAUCCUAAUCUAUAUAUGUUAGUAAGUUUUAUCAAAAGAAUAUCUUAACUACCAACACUCCAAUUUCGUUCUCUCAGUGAAAAACAAUCGGAAUAUUGGGGUUGGACGUUAAACGAGAACAUUCAAUUGAAAAAUGUUAAAAUUUCAUCGAAUAAACUAAAUAAA